GGCUCAGUGGUCUAGGGGUAUGAUUCUCGCUUUGGGUGCGAGAGGUCUCGGGUUCAAAUCCCGGCUGAGCCC
rnacentral:tRNA from 1 species